GUGCCAGCCGCCGCGGUAAUACCGGCAGCCCGAGUGAUGGCCGAUCUUAUUGGGCCUAAAGCGUCCGUAGCUGGCCGAACAAGUCCGUCGGGAAAUCCACGUGCUUAACGCGUGGGCGACCGGCGGAAACUGUCCGGCUUGGGGCCGGAGGACCCGAGGGGUACGUUCGGGGUAGGAGUGAAAUCCCAUAAUCCCGCACGGACCACCGAUGGCGAAAGCACUUCGAGAAAACGGAUCCGACAGUGAGGGACGAAAGCCAGGGUCUCCAACCGGAUUAGAUACCCCUGUAGUCC
rnacentral:rRNA from 1 species